rnacentral:rRNA from 1 species
CACAAGCGGUGGAGCAUGUGGUUAAUUCGACGCAACGCGAAGAACCUUACCAGGGCUUGACAUCCCCUGACCGCGUAUGAAAGUACGUUUUCACCCUCGGGUGACAGGGAGACAGGUGGUGCAUGGUUGUCGUCAGCUCGUGUCGUGAGAUGUUGGGUUAAGUCCCGCAACGAGCGCAACCCCUACGUUUAGUUGCUAACAGGUGAAGCUGAGCACUCUAGACGAACUGCCGUUGACAAAACGGAGGAAGGUGGGGAUGACGUCAAAUCAUCAUGCCCCUUAUGGGCAGGGCUACACACGUACUACAAUGGUCGGUACAAAGGGCUGCCAACCCGCGAGGGGGAGCCAAUCCCAGAAAACCGAUCGUAGUCCGGAUCGCAGUCUGCAACUCGACUGCGUGAAGUCGGAAUCGCUAGUAAUCGUGAAUCAGAAUGUCACGGUGAAUACGUUCCCGGGCCUUGU